AACCUUUCUCAUUUGUAUUUUCUCUGGAAAAAAAUCUCUCCCUUCCCUCAACAUUUCUGGGAGCUUCUGUAUUAAGGCAGGUUAAGAGGGUAAGUGCUUUCAGUCACGAGUUCAUGUGCUUCUGUACUAGGGAUUUCAAAAUUGACAGCAUAGAUUGUAAGUGCAUCACUUCUGUUUUAUAAAUUCAAUAAUAUUUCUUACUUUCUUUAAAUUUUCAUUCCUAGGACCAAACCGUGGAUCCUCAAAUUCUCAAUCAUUCAUUAUACAUAUGAUGUUUUGUUCUUUAUUUUAUACCGCAAAAAAUUAUGGUUUUCUUCAUAGUUGUAAACAAGGAUUUAUUUACCAGCAGAAGUUUAGUCUAGUGAACAUAAAGUUGAAAUGGGUGAAAGAUAGAACAAUGGAUUCUGUUGUCACAUGUCAGAGGGAUCUUAAGGCUGCUGGGAUCCUUGUUUCAAUCAUUUAUUCUUCUCCGGAAUGUUGUCUUCCGAUAUAUCGUCUUUCUCGUCAUCGUGGACAACUUGGACUUCCGGAUGACCUUAAACUCGCCACUUUUGUCCGAAGAUAUCCUAAUAUUUUUGUUGAGUCGUCUUUUCUUGAUAGCGGCGGCUCGCCUGUUCCGUGUUUCGGAUUGAGUCGCGAAGCGUUGAAGCUCCGUUGCAAAGAAGUUGAUAUAGGUAUAGAAAAUCAGUUUGAACUUAGGGAUAGGUUGUGCAAAUUGCUUAUGCUCGCAAGAGAUUGGAUGCUUCCACUACAGACUAUUGAUCAGUUGAAAUGGGAUUUGGGUUUACCGUAUGAUUAUCAGGAUUCUUUUAUUCGGAAUCACCCUGAAAUAUUCUCUUUUGUUCGCCUUCCCGACGACCGCGUUGGCUUGAAAUUAUUAUUUUGGGAUGAUAAGCUUGCUGUAUCAGAGUUGGAGAAGAAUGCUUCUCUACAACAAGAAGACCAAGACAUAAAAAGUGGAACUUUUAGAUUUCCAAUCAGUUUUACCAGAGGUUUUGGUUUGAAAAGGAAAAGCAUGGAGUGGUUGAAAGAGUGGCAGAAACUCCCUUAUACUUCGCCUUACACCAAUGCCUCUCAUUUGGAUACUCGUACGGAUGUAUCUGAGAAGAGGGUAGUUGGAGUUUUUCAUGAGCUUCUUCACCUUACACUUCAUAAGCAGACGGAGCGUAAGAAUGUUAGCAACUUACGCAGACCCUUGGGCUUACCGCAAAAGUUCACUAAAGCAUUUGAACGACAUCCUGGUAUUUUUUAUAUUUCCAAGAAGAAUGAUACCCAAACAGUUGUUCUGAGGGAGGCCUACAAUGGCGGGGAACUCGUGCGGAGUCACCCCCUUGUUAAAAUUAGAGAGGAAUUUGCAAAUCUACUAAAGAAAGGACUACUUGAUAGGAGUAGGGGUGUAUACAAGAAAAGUAUGGAGGAUAAGUGGCUUGAGUGAGAAUCAUGAGAUGGACAUACUCCUCCUCAAACUGAAGAUUCAACAGAAAUUCCUGAACUCAUAAAUGAUCCUAUACAGACUGUUGUUAAACCUAAUGGAACUGUUUCGAGCAGUGUUCGUGAGCUUCUAGAAUGCCCUGUGUGCUUGAGUGCUAUGUACCCUCCAAUCCACCAGGUGUUUGGCAUUGGAGAAGGUGGCUGCAUCUUUAGAACUUCCUUGUAAAUAUCAAGGUUUUGGAUGCAUAUAUGAAUAUACCCUUAUUACAGCAAGCUAAAACACGAGUCUCAAUAUGCUGGUUCAGAAUGUGCUGUCGUGGGUGAUAUACGGUUCUUGGUGGCACACCUGAGAGAUGAUCACAUAGUGGUUGCACUUUUAAUC